rnacentral:misc_RNA from 1 species
GAUCUCAUACAACCUCCCUGAUCAGCACAAGUACAGCUACCACCCAGAAAUUCAGGCAACUCACUUCCAUCUAUUAUCUCAAGCAAUUUGCUCUGGUACUUGUUGCCAAGAACAUGAAUCUUGCUAGCUGUUUGAGAAUCAAGAAACGAUUUCACUGUGUUCCAGAGCAACUUAAAACCAGGACCAGCAUUAAUUAUGAACAUUCGGUAAAGUGUCUCAGGGUAGUUGUCACCAUCAAUCGUUUGCAGCCUUAUGAUGAGCUCUCGAGCAGACUUGGUAAAGUUUUUCAAACCCACGCCUUGCACAUCCAAAAUAGUUGUACUUGAAUCUAUAUGCCUCUUUGCAGCAAUAGAGCAAGCUGGAAACUUAAUUGCAAAACUCUUUUCAAACUCCUGCACAUGA